rnacentral:rRNA from 1 species
CCUACGGGAGGCAGCAGUGGGGAAUCUUGCGCAAUGGGCGAAAGCCUGACGCAGCCAUGCCGCGUGAAUGAUGAAGGUCUUAAGAUUGUAAAAUUCUUUCACCGGGGACGAUAAUGACGGUACCCGGAGAAGAAGCCCCGGCUAACUUCGUGCCAGCAGCCGCGGUAAUACGAAGGGGGCUAGCGUUGCUCGGAAUUACUGGGCGUAAAGGGAGCGUAGGCGGAUAGUUUAGUCAGAGGUGAAAGCCCAGGGCUCAACCUUGGAAUUGCCCUUGAUACUGGCUAUCUUGAGUACGGAAGAGGUAUGUGGAACUCCGAGUGUAGAGGUGAAAUUCGUAGAUAUUCGGAAGAACACCAGUGGCGAAGGCGACAUACUGGUCCGUUACUGACGCUGAGGCUCGAAAGCGUGGGGAGCAAACAGGAUUAGAUACCCUGGUAGUCCACGCUGUAAACGAUGAGUGCUAGUUGUCGGCAUGCAUGCAUGUCGGUGGACGCAGCUACGCAUUAAGUACACCUCCCGCCGUCGGGGGUAGGGUACGGGUCGGCGAAGAAGUUAAAACCUUAACGUAAAGGUUAAAGUUAGUACGGCGUUGAGGACGUUGCCGACGGACGACGACGAGGGGAGGUUAGG